ACGAACGCUGGCGGCGUGCUUAACACCUGCAAGUCGAACGAUGAAGCACCAGCUUGCUGGUGUGGAUUAGUGGCGAACGGGUGAGUAACACGUGAGUAACCUGCCCCUCACUCUGGGAUAAGCCUGGGAAACUGGGUCUAAUACUGGAUACGACCGAUCUCCGCAUGGAGUGUUGGUGGAAAGUUUUUGUGGUGGGGGAUGGACUCGCGGCCUAUCAGCUUGUUGGUGGGGUAAUGGCCUACCAAGGCGACGACGGGUAGCCGGCCUGAGAGGGCGACCGGCCACACUGGGACUGAGACACGGCCCAGACUCCUACGGGAGGCAGCAGUGGGGAAUAUUGCACAAUGGGCGAAAGCCUGAUGCAGCGACGCCGCGUGAGGGAUGACGGCCUUCGGGUUGUAAACCUCUUUCACCAGGGACGAAGCUAACGUGACGGUACCUGGAGAAGAAGCACCGGCUAACUACGU
rnacentral:rRNA from 1 species